rnacentral:miRNA from 1 species
AGAGAUGAACAGAAAGGGCUCUAGCUCUUUAUAUAUAUAUAUAUGUGUGUGUGUGUGUGUGUGUGUGUGUGUGUGUAUUCACACAUACAUACAUACACAUUUUUAUAAUUUAUAAA